rnacentral:rRNA from 1 species
UACGGAGGGUGCAAGCGUUAUCCGGGUUCACUGGGUUUAAAGGGUGCGUAGGUGGGCUGAUAAGUCAGCGGUGAAAUCUCCGGGCUUAACCUGGAAACUGCCAUUGAUACUAUCGGUCUUGAAUCUCGCGUAGGUAAGCGGAAUAUGUCAUGUAGCGGUGAAAUGCUUAGAUAUGACAUAGAACACCAAUUGCGAAGGCAGCUUACUUCACGAGUAUUGACACUGAGGCACGAAAGCGUGGGGAGCAAACAGG